UACGAAGGGGGCUAGCGUUGCUCGGAAUCACUGAGCGUAAAGGGUGCGUAGGCGGGUCUUUAAGUCAGGGGUGAAAUCCUGGAGCUCAACUCCAGAACUGCCUUUGAUACUGAGGAUCUUGAGUACGGGAGAGGUGAGUGGAACUGCGAGUGUAGAGGUGAAAUUCGUAGAUAUUCGCAAGAACACCAGUGGCGAAGGCGGCUCACUGGCCCGGUACUGACGCUGAGGUGCGAAAGCGUGGGGAGCAAACAGG
rnacentral:rRNA from 1 species